CAACAACAGCAACAAAAAAAAAAAAGCGCGAGUGCGUGUUCUUCGUUUACUUGUGCUUCUAACGAAACCUCGAAAGUGAACUGAAGAGUGGCAACUGUUAACUCUUAUCCGUUGCCGAUUCCCACCACCAUCUUCAAAUUGAGUCUUGCGCUGGAUCAAGCGAAUAAGAGAAGAAGAAAAAAUAGAUGUUUUUUUCAUGUAAAACAUACAAUCUCUACCUUCCCUGCUCCUCUGUUCCCCUGCGCAAUUCAACAUCAUGCACCAUUUUCAAUUGUCAAAACCCAAACGAGCAUCACUCCAUUCUCCGCAAACACAAUUCCAAAUCCACAGCAUAUCUCCUUCACCACCUCUCCCACAAGGAUGGGGCACCCAACCCCAUUCCCAUUCCCAAACCCAGCGAGCUUCAAGACCCAAUGCCCCACGAAGAAAAAGUCAAGGUUUUGGAGCUUUCCCUCGUCAGAAAAAGGACCCCUCAGUUCCCUGGCUCCAUCUACGCUCAAUCUCCCAGUGACUCCGAUGUGGGUUCUUCUCUGCCCCCUCUCCGCACUCUGUUUCAAUCAAGUGAUGAUAAAGACGACGACGAGGAGGAGAAGGAGAUGAUAAUGCGCGCUCUCGAUAUUCGGAGGAAGGUCACUGAAGAGGUUUUCAAAGAAGCCAUGCGAAAGGGAAAGUUUGGAAUCACUUACACUACCAAUUUGGUUGGCAGGUUAUCCGGUUUCAUUGAUUACAUCAUGAUUGAAGCUGCUAACUUGAAGAGAUUGCCCGAAUAUUCAAACUCCACCUUCAAUUUGCGCGCCAAAAUUGUCAUUGAUGACUCUAAAGUUGUGCCACUUAUUAGAUGGUUGAAGCACAAUGCACUAUCAUAUCCCCGGAUAGCGAAGCUUAUUUUGAUGUCAAGUGGAAAACUUGAGGCUGUCAGGAGUUUUGUCGAGUGGUUGAAAUCGGUACAUGUGAAAGGAGAGUUUCUCGGUGUUGUAAUGGUGAAUGCUGGGGAAAAUAUUUUCCAGCGCAGCCAUGUGGAGCUGGAUGAGAUUGUUCUGUAUUUGGAGUCCAAUGGAGUCAGGAGGGAUUGGAUGGGUUAUGUCAUUAGUCGUUGUCCUCAGUUAUUGUCUUAUAGCUUAGAUGAAGUGAAGAAUCGUGCACAGUUCUACCAUGAUAUGGGCUUAAAUGAGAAAGAUUUUGGCACAAUGGUUUUUGAUUUUCCUAAAGUUCUUGGUUACUAUUCGCUGGAAGAAAUGAAUGCAAAGGUUAAUUACUUAAAAGAAUUUGGGCUUCAAACUAAGGAUGUUGGCAGAUUGCUUGCUUUUAGACCACAAUUGAUGGCAUGCAGCAUUGAAGAACAAUGGAAGCCUCUUGUUAAGUAUCUGUAUUAUUAUGGGAUCACUCAAGAUGGUAUGAGGAGAAUGCUUACCAUUAAACCAAUGGUCUUUUGUGCUGACUUGCAGAUGACUAUUGUGCCAAAGGUACGGUUUUUUGAGGAUAUAGGGGUGCGCAAUGAUGCGAUUGGCAACAUGCUUGUGAAGUUUCCUCCUCUACUCACUUACAGUCUGAACAAGAAGAUUAGACCAGUGGUCAUAUUCUUGAUGACCAAAGCUGGAGUCAGUGAGAAAGAUAUCGCCAAGGUUGUAGCUCUUGGACCUGAGCUGUUGGGAUGCAAUAUAGCACAUAAGCUUGAUCUAAAUGUAAAAUAUUUUUUGUCUCUUGGCAUACGUCUUCGGCAAUUGGGUGAGAUGAUUGCUGAUUUUCCAAUGCUGCUCAGAUACAAUCCAGAUGUCCUUCGUCCCAAAUAUGUUUAUUUGCGAAAAACAAUGGUCCGGCCUUUGCAAGAUCUCAUUGAGUUUCCAAGGUUUUUCAGCUAUUCUCUUGAGGGUCGAAUUAUCCCAAGACAUAAGGUUCUAGUGGAGAAUCAGAUUAAUAUUAAGCUAAGAUACAUGUUGACUAGCACUGACGAAGAAUUCAACAAAAUGGUCAAGGGCAUAAUUAGAAAGCGCCUCAGAUUUGAAUCUGCUGUCACAAAUGAGGAUACUACGUUAAUACUGGAGACUACACCCCAGGCAUAAAAAAAAUGGUUGCUUUGUGAGAAAAUGAUUGUCAUAUAAUCAUAAUUGUUCUUCACAAAGAUGGAGGUGCUAAAUGACUUAAUAGAAGCUGGUAUAGGGCAGAAACACCUUAAUGAGUUAGUGGAGGAAAAGGAGUUCCCAUGUCUUGAUAAACACACAAAAAAAGCCUGCAAUUUGGCUUGCACUGCCUCCCAUGUAAAGAUAAAAUUGCUGCAGAGUGAACCAAUGACACUACCACUGGAAUCUGGACCAUGUCGGAGUUGUGGAGACCUGACCUGUGUACUCUUUGCAAUUAUUCUCUAGGAUGGUUUGAGACUUUGGGUUUAUUUCCGUAACAGGAGCAAGGGAACCAUUGAUUGCUAGUGCAACUGAAUAAUCUGUCUGACCUUUCUAAUCACGGUAAUCUGAUAUGCUUGUGUUUCAAAAUUCUAGAUUUGGGUUCUCCUUACCGGCAGAACGUUAAAUUUGAUCCUUCUUCAGAAGGUCAAAUAUAUGAAACCCAUAUAAAUCUAGGUCCGGUAUUUCUGUAACCACCGACUUUGUAGCAAGCUCUUUGUUGACACAAUUUUCAUCACGCUUAUAUGAAAAACAGUGAUUCAUGUAUAAAAUUAUUUACAGA